rnacentral:rRNA from 1 species
CCUACGGGAGGCAGCAGUGAGGAAUAUUGGUCAAUGGACGCAAGUCUGAACCAGCCAUGCCGCGUGCAGGAAGACGGCUCUAUGAGUUGUAAACUUCUUUUGUACGAGGGUAAAUCCCGAUACGUUUAUCGUGUUGAAAGUAUCGUACGAAUAAGGAUCGGCUAACUCCGUGCCAGCAGCCGCGGUAAUACGGAGGAUUCAAGCGUUAUCCGGAUUUAUUGGGUUUAAAGGGUGCGUAGGCGGUUCGAUAAGUUAGAUGUGAAAUCCCGGGGCUCAACUCCGGCACUGCCUCUGAUACUGUCGGGCUAGAGUUUAGUUGCGGUAGGCGGAAUGUAUGGUGUAGCGGUGAAAUGCAUAGAGAUCAUACAGAACACCGAUUGCGAAGGCAGCUUACCAAACUACGACUGACGUUGAGGCACGAAAGCGUGGGGAGCAAACAGGAUUAGAUACCCUUGUAGUC